rnacentral:misc_RNA from 1 species
GUUUAGCCUGCAUUAGUAGCCACAUAGUGAAUAUAGCUUUAGGCCUAGCAGAACUGGCAAACAUCAAGCAUUUCCAUGAGACUCUGGUCCUUUCCCCAAUCAAUCCAAGAUAAACUUGCUUUAUAAUACCAUGUUGCUUUUUCACCAAAUGUUCUACUUGAUUCCAUGGAGUCCUAGAUUCCAAUAUUUUCCUUGUAAUCCAACA